CAAAAAAAGUGGCAAUAAAAUAUUUGAUACUUUAAAAAGGAAGUGGCUAACAUCAGAACGUGAACCCGGCUCUGACACUAAUUUUUUUUUUAAUUCUUCCGCUAUCACCCAGCAAAGAGAAACCAGACAUAGGCUUAUGCAGAACAGUUCCUAGAACAUGAAUGAUCUGAAAUCGCUUCACCUUCACAUCUAACUCCAACCAGGGUGGUGUUUUGGUUGAAACCGACUGUGAACUGAUUCCUUCAGUAGAGCACAGGGUGGGUGCUGGCCACAGUUCAUGGUAAGCAGCCUGAGCGGAUCCUUACCCCACUGCAGAAGCAAUCAAACCCACCCCUGCUGAAGCGGUAGGAGCGCUUACCCGGUCUGUACCUCUCGUGAGACCGUGAACUCCGGAAAUCCAACCUUACCCACAAACUGCUAAUUCAGUGGAAAGAAGUCUUCAAAUCCAGGCCAGCAGUUGGCGACAGCAGCGGCCCUGGCCCAAGGCUCCCGAGAGCAGCGUGUGGCCUCCGGGAGCGGCUCCAGGGAGAGGCCUGAGGAGCUGGACCCCCCUGCCCCCCACCACGGCAGUGGCAACACCAAGGGGCCAUGGCUGUUACUUCACACAGGUGGGCUCUGAGGCACCCGCACAGGUAAGCCACCUCCCCGAGGCCAGUGGGG